rnacentral:rRNA from 1 species
UACGUAGGGUGCGAGCGUUGUCCGGAAUUAUUGGGCGUAAAGGGCUCGUAGGCGGUUUGUCGCGUCGGGAGUGAAAUCCACUGGCUUAACUGGUGGCUUGCUUUCGAUACGGGCAGACUGGAGGUAUGCAGGGGAGAUCGGAAUUCCUGGUGUAGCGGUGAAAUGCGCAGAUAUCAGGAGGAACACCGGUGGCGAAGGCGGAUCUCUGGGCCAUUACUGACGCUGAGGAGCGAAAGCGUGGGGAGCGAACAGG